CACUUUUAAUUUAUUCCCAAAUUCACUUUUAACCUAAGAUAAGCAUCGCAAUGAAGCAAGCUGCCAUCGUACCCAUCAGCAAGCUGUCGCACCAAGUUCAUCACUGCGAUCGAUCGCCGUCGCACCACCCAGCUCGAUUGCCAUCGCACCGAUGUUCAUCUAACAGUCACACCCAGCCCUUCAUCUAACCGUCACACACAGCCCUCUCUCUGUCACACCCAACCCUCACACCAUCAACGGUCUCUCACACCCUACUCGCAAACGGUCGCAAACCCUUGCAAACCUAACCCUCUGCUCACAAACCCUCGCAAACCCAACCCUCUGUCUCUGUCUUUGUCUCAAUGGUCUCUCCCUCAAUCGGUCUCUCGACGUGCCCAGGCAUCAACGUGGCCUCCUACUCGCAAAUCCUCACAAACCCAACCCUCUGUCUCUGUCUCAGUGGUCUCUUCCUUAAUCGGCACCGUAAACACACUAGAUCCUCAUAUUCAUAUCAUACAUUCCAAGGUCACGAGAUCUUUACAAAGAUUAUGAGGAAUUGAAGAAGAAAAAGAAUCUAACCUUGGAGCACUAUACAAACUACAAAGUCUUAGUUCUUGAAACUGUUGUUCUUGCACUUGUAGAUUUGCAGCUCAACACCAAAGCCAGUUUCCUGAAUGCUAUACAAAAAUAUAAACAACAUAAGUCCAUGAAAAUGAGCAUUAUACAGCGCAUUGUGCUUAACCCUCACCUUAAACACUACAAGGUAAGUAUUUUUUUUGUCUGUUUCCAAUUAAAAUCUUCUUAUUAGCCAUAUGUAGCCCGUAAACAUAACUUGUAACUGUGUCUCCUCCUCCCAGUUUGAUGAUGGGCUUGGUUUCGACAUUCCAACGGCAUCAUACUCUGAAUCAUAGAUCCAAGUUUUGCUUGCUACGUUAUUGGCUGUUGAUUAUUCAGUAGAUCCGAUUCGUUGAUGUGCAAAAGAAGGCAGCGGCAGCAGCUAAGAAAAGAGGCAAGGCGGAUGCUUUGUUGAAAUAAUUAUGUAGGUGUGAAACAUGAAGCAUUCAUGCUUGGAGCUUCCAAGGGCAAGCACACAAACAAAAGAUUUGAUCUUUUCAUUACCACUUCACCAAUACCAUAUCUAAAUGAGAAGCUUAUUGUGUUGGGGCGAGUCGUCAAGGGAAAUUAAGGAUGUUCAGGUUCAAGUUGGGGCCAAGGGUACUGAGAGCAUGAACUGGGAUGCAAUGGUUAUGCAAAUGUAUAAAUCAAUAUAUUUA